UACGGGGGGGGCAAGCGUUGUUCGGAAUUACUGGGCGUAAAGGGCUUGUAGGUGGCCAACUAAGUCAGACGUGAAAUCCCUCAGCUUAACUGGGGAACUGCGUCUGAUACUGGAUGGCUUGAGUUUGGGAGAGGGACGCGGAAUUCCAGGUGUAGCGGUGAAAUGCGUAGAUAUCUGGAGGAACACCGGUGGCAAAGGCGGCGUCCUGGACCAACACUGACACUGAAAAGCGAAAGCCAGGGGAGCAAACGGG
rnacentral:rRNA from 1 species